GACGAACGCUGGCGGCGUGCCUAAUACAUGCAAGUAGAACGCUGAAGGAGGAGCUUGCUUCUCUGGAUGAGUUGCGAACGGGUGAGUAACGCGUAGGUAACCUGCCUGGUAGCGGGGGAUAACUAUUGGAAACGAUAGCUAAUACCGCAUAAUAGUAGAUGUUGCAUGACAUUUGCUUAAAAGGUGCAAUUGCAUCACUACCAGAUGGACCUGCGUUGUAUUAGCUAGUUGGUGGGGUAACGGCUCACCAAGGCGACGAUACAUAGCCGACCUGAGAGGGUGAUCGGCCACACUGGGACUGAGACAAGGCCCAGACUCCUACGGGAGGCAGCAGUAGGGAAUCUUCGGCAAUGGACGGAAGUCUGACCGAGCAACGCCGCGUGAGUGAAGAAGGGUUUCGGAUCGUAAAGCUCUGUUGUAAGAGAAGAACGAGUGUGAGAGUGGAAAGUUCACACUGUGACGGUAUCUUAACAGAAAGGGACGGCUAACUACGUG
rnacentral:rRNA from 1 species